rnacentral:rRNA from 2 species
UCAGGAUGAACGCUAGCUACAGGCUUAACACAUGCAAGUCGAGGGGCAGCGGGAAGUCAGCUUGCUGACUUUGCCGGCGACCGGCGCACGGGUGAGUAACACGUAUCCAACCUUCCGCAUACUCUGGAAUAGCCUUUCGAAAGAAAGAUUAAUGCCCGAUGGUAUCAAGAGAUUGCAUGAUAUCUGAAUAAAGAUUCAUCGGUAUGCGAUGGGGAUGCGUUCCAUUAGGCAGUUGGCGGGGUAACGGCCCACCAAACCGACGAUGGAUAGGGGUUCUGAGAGGAAGGUCCCCCACAUUGGAACUGAGACACGGUCCAAACUCCUACGGGAGGCAGCAGUGAGGAAUAUUGGUCAAUGGGCGAGAGCCUGAACCAGCCAAGUAGCGUGAAGGAUGACUGCCCUACGGGUUGUAAACUUCUUUUAUAAGGGAAUAAAGUUCUCUACGUGUAGAGUUUUGUAUGUACCUUAUGAAUAAGCAUCGGCUAACUCCGUGCCAGCAGCCGCGGUAAUACGGAGGAUGCGAGCGUUAUCCGGAUUUAUUGGGUUUAAAGGGAGCGUAGACGGCGGUUUAAGUCAGCUGUGAAAUGGUGCGGCUCAACCGUAGCACUGCAGUUGAAACUGGACGGCUUGAGUGCAGUUGAGGCAGGCGGAAUUCGUGGUGUAGCGGUGAAAUGCUUAGAUAUCACGAAGAACCCCGAUUGCGAAAGCAGCCUGCUAACCUGCAACUGACGUUGAGGCUCGAAAGUGUGGGUAUCAAACAGGAUUAGAUACCCUGGUAGUCCACACGGUAAACGAUGGAUACUCGCUGUUGGCGAUAUACUGUCAGCGGCCAAGUGAAAACGUUAAGUAUCCCACCUGGGGAGUACGCCGGCAACGGUGAAACUCAAAGGAAUUGACGGGGGCCCGCACAAGCGGAGGAACAUGUGGUUUAAUUCGAUGAUACGCGAGGAACCUUACCCGGGCUUGAAUUGCAGACGAAUCAUCCGGAGACGGAUGAGCCGCAAGGCGUCUGUGAAGGUGCUGCAUGGUUGUCGUCAGCUCGUGCCGUGAGGUGUCGGCUUAAGUGCCAUAACGAGCGCAACCCUUUCCGCCGGUUACUAACAGGUGAUGCUGAGGACUCCGACGGUACUGCCAUCGUAAGAUGUGAGGAAGGUGGGGAUGACGUCAAAUCAGCACGGCCCUUACGUCCGGGGCUACACACGUGUUACAAUGGGGGGUACAGAAGGCAGCGACCGGGCGACCGGAAGCGAAUCCCUAAAGCCCCUCUCAGUUCGGACUGGAGUCUGCAACCCGACUCCACGAAGCUGGAUUCGCUAGUAAUCGCGCAUCAGCCACGGCGCGGUGAAUACGUUCCCGGGCCUUGUACACACCGCCCGUCAAGCCAUGAAAGCCGGGGGUACCUGAAGUGCGUAACCGCGAGGAGCGCCCUAGGGUAAAACCGGUAAUUGGGGCUAAGUCUAAACAAGGUAA